UACGAAGGGGGCUAGCGUUGUUCGGAAUCACUGGGCGUAAAGAGCGCGCAGGCGGUCGUGCAAGUCGCGUGUGAAAGCCCCCGGCUCAACUGGGGAGGGUCACGCGAUACUGCUCGACUCGAAGGCAGGAGAGGGAAGCGGAAUUCCCGGUGUAGUGGUGAAAUGCGUAGAUAUCGGGAGGAACACCAGUGGCGAAGGCGGCUUCCUGGCCUGUUCUUGACGCUGAGGCGCGAAAGCUAGGGGAGCAAACGGG
rnacentral:rRNA from 1 species